rnacentral:rRNA from 1 species
ACGGAGGGUGCGAGCGUUGUCCGGAUUUAUUGGGUUUAAAGGGUGCGUAGGCGGCCUUAUAAGUCCGGGGUGAAAGCCCGCUGCUCAACAGCGGAACUGCCCUGGAUACUGUGAGGCUUGAGUACAGACGAGGUUGGCGGAAUGGACGGAGUAGCGGUGAAAUGCAUAGAUACCGUCCAGAACCCCGAUUGCGAAGGCAGCUGACUAGGCUGUUACUGACGCUGAGGCACGACAGCGUGGGGAGCGAACAGG